ensembl:lncRNA
AUGAUCACACAGCCAGAUGGGGCUGAAUUUGAACCCAAGGCUCCACACUGCAAAUCGAGUGCAUUUUCACUGAAAAGUGACCUCUGUUCCCUUCCCACAGAGGGUGCUGAAGGCCAGAGGGACCAUAAACUUUCUGCAAAGAGGCAUUCCAGGGGCAGCAGGCAGGCAUGUCAAUGUGAAGAUGUCUUCCAGAACAUUCAUGGAGGAAAGACAGUACUGGAAGCCAAGCCACCUGCAAGACAGUGCCCAUGUGACCGCCUUAAACCCAAACAGAAAAACGCAGGCUUAGGGCAUCGGAAGCACUGGAGACGGAGCUGCCUCCGGUUUCUGAAGCAAUGCCAGCUGCGGGACAUUACUCUGCCUUUGUAAGAGAUCAGUCCAGUCUGAAGGGCAGAAGGUCAGCUCCCAAGAUGGCUUUAAUUCAGAAACGACCCCCAGGGUCACGUGGACUGCAGGCACUCCUCAGCUUGAUCCCUCCGGGAAGCAAGCACCUGACCUCUCUUCCCCGUCUCUGCCCACCCUUUCUCAGGUCCAAGUUGGGGCCGGGGGAGAGGAUGAAUCAGUCCCCACAAUCCCUAAUCGCCAGGGAAACUCUUCAGCCUCACUGACCAUCACCACGCCAGCAACAUGUAGCACCCUGGGGUCUUCAAUAAAAACGAAAAACAUUUCA